rnacentral:lncRNA from 1 species
CUGAGUUCAAUUUAAUGGCAAUGACGCUUUAUGCAUCUCCUUUGCUCAAACUUCAUCAGAAUGAGCGAAUGCUCUCAGUUUGAAUCAUAGAAAAAAAACAUGUGCAAGUCAGAAAUAGUAGCAACAACAGGUCUGGGACUCAUCAGCUGAGGCAGGUGCAAAUGACAUCACAUAUUGUAGUAACACCAGGUCUAAGAUCAUGGGUGCAUGCAAUUUU